UGAGGAAUAUUGCACAAUGGGCGCAAGCCUGAUGCAGCGACGCCGCGUGAGUGAAGAAGGCCUUCGGGUCGUAAAGCUCUUUUCUGCGUGACGAGCAAGGACGGUAGCGCAGGAAUAAGUCUCGGCUAACUACGUGCCAGCAGCCGCGGUAAAACGUAGGAGACAAACGUUAUCCGGAGUUACUGGGCGUAAAGGGCGUGCAGGCGGUCUGUUAAGUCUGGCGUGAAAGCUCUCGGCUAAACCGGGAGAGGUCGUUGGAUACUGACGGACUAGAGGACGGUAGAGGCGUGUGGAAUUCCGGGUGUAGUGGUGAAAUGCGUAGAGAUCCGGAGGAACACCAGUGGCGAAGGCGACACGCUGGGCCGCACCUGACGCUAAGACGCGACAGCAUGGGGAGCGAACGGGAUUAGAACCCGGUAGUCCAUGCCGUAACGAUGCCAGCUAGGUGUUCAGGGGGCGCGAAGCCGUCGGGGUACCGAAGCAAACGCGAUAAGCUGGCC
rnacentral:rRNA from 1 species